UACAGAGGGUGCAAGCGUUAAUCGGAAUUACUGGGCGUAAAGCGUGCGUAGACGGUUAUGUAAGUCGGGUGUGAAAGCCCCGGGCUCAACCUGGGAACUGCGUUGUGACUGUAUGACUAGAGUACGGUAGAGAGGGGUGGAAUUCCUGGUGUAGCAGUGAAAUGCGUAGAUAUCAGGAGGAACAUCGAUGGCGAAGGCAGCCCCUUGGACCUGUACUGACGCUCAUGCACGAAAGCGUGGGGAGCAAACAGG
rnacentral:rRNA from 1 species